rnacentral:sRNA from 1 species
GCUGGACCCUGGAGAGUUUCUGCACCCCCUUCGGGACCCCCACAGUUCCCCGCUGUGGUCCCUGGACCAUCGCUGGAGGCGGCCCGAGCUCACAUGCUGGCUUUGGGGCCACAGCAGCUGCUGGCCCAGGAUGAGGAGGGGGACACGUGAGUAUUAGGGAUGGGGUUGUCUGCAGACUCUUGGCUUGGCGGGGGCUGUUCUCACGGCUGUCCCCCACCUGUCCUCAGGCUCCUUCACCUGUUUGCGGCUCGGGGGCUGCGCUGGGCGGCAUAUGCUGCGGCUGAGGUGCUCCAGGUGUACCGGCGUCUUGACAUUCGUGAGCAUAAGGGCAAGACCCCUCUCCUGGUGGCGGCUGCUGCCAACCAGCCCCUGAUUGUGGAGGAUCUGUUGAACCUGGGAGCAGAGCCCAACGCCGCUGACCAUCAGGGACGUUCGGUCUUGCACGUGGCCGCUACUUACGGGCUCCCAGGAGUUCUCUUGGUAUGGCCAGCUGGCAGGCAGGGGUUUGUCUGGGGGGGUAGACUGGUUGCCCAGAUUUUGGCUUCCAGGGCCAGGAGGCCAAGGGAUACCCUUACCCAGCAGUCUGCCUUCUCUUCCUCCCAGGCUGUGCUUAACUCCGGGGUCCAGGUUGACCUGGAAGCCAGAGACUUCGAGGGUAAGUUGGGUGUGGGCAGGGCUGGUGUGGUUGGUGUGGCUGGGCGAGGUGGGUGCAGAUGCGGGUCCCUCACUGUCUCCAUUCUGCAGGCCUCACC